CAUUUUAAUCUGAAAUGACAAAAUCCCAAUAAUAAAAGCAUGCAAAGUUUCUGAAUUUACAGUAUAUUGGUUGGAAAUUAAAAUUCAAUAGUAAUGGAAAUACAAAAUAAUCAUAUAAAUGUCAGUAACAAACAAAAAAUAAGGAAGUUUUCCAAAAACCUGAUUAUGUUUCAAAAACAAAUUUAGCAGUGGUAUAAUUUCUAAUUUUCCAUAUCAAGUUGAAUUAAAAUGUGUCUAAAAAAGAAUGUAUAUUUUAUCAUAAAAUUAUGAGCAAUUCAGUCCUAAUAUAGAUAAGUCAGUAUGUGCAAUACUGGUGAUGUUGCCAUGUUGAUAUAAAUCAUAAGUUAAUAUUGCUUUCAGGGUCAGUCUAAUCUACUGCCUACUUUUUUUCAAAAUGUUUUGACUUGGAUUUUUUUUUUUUUUUUGAAGUUACAGUCAACUUUAAUUAUUGGAUUAAAAAUAAUAAUAAUAAUAAAGUCUCCAAGGGUCUUAUUUUGACAACCUGGUAUCUUUACAUAACAAAGUUCCAGUAUUAAUUUAGAAAAUUUCUGGGAAACAUUUCAGAUGGCUUUUGUUUUCAUCCAUCCUCUUGUUUCCCUGGAUUUUUAACUAGAGGCUCUCAAGAGCCUGUGUCGCUCACCUUGGUCUAUGUGCAUAUUAACAAUAAACACAGAUAAAUUCAUGACAAAAUUGAGUUUUGGUGAUGGUGAUGUGUUUGUAGAUCUUUCUUUACUGAAUAUUCUUGUUGCUACAAUUAUCUCUAUCUAUAAUGAACUUGGCCCAGUAAUUACAGUGGAAAAUAUUUCCUAAAAAUUUACAAAAAUUAACAAAAAUUUAUGAAAAUUGUUAACAAUUGACUAUAAAGAGCAAUAACUCCUUAAGGGGUCAAUUGACAAUUUUGGUCUUGUUGACUUAUUUGUAGAUCUUAUUUUGCUGAACAUUAUUGCUGUUUACAGUUUAUCUCUAUCUAUAAUAAUAUUCAAGAUAAUAACCAAAAUCUGCAAAAUUUCCUUAAAAUUACUAAUUCGGGGGCAGCAAACCAACAACAGGUUGUCCGAUUUGUCUGAAAAUUUCAGGGCAGAUAGAUCUUGUCCUGAUAAUUAAUUUUAUCCCUGUCAGAUUUGCUCUAAAUGCUUUGGUUUUUGAGUUAUAAGCCAAAAAAUUUCCUUCAAAUUGACUAUAAAGGGCAAUAACUCCUUCAGGGGUCAACUGACCAUUUUAGUCAUAUUAACUUAUUUGUAGAUCUUACUUUGCUGAACAUUAUUGCUGAUUACAUUUUAUCUCUUUCUAUAAUAAUAUUCAAGAUAAUAACCAAAAUCUGAAAAAUUUCCUUCAAAUUACUUAUUUCGGGGCAGCAACCCAACAACCCGUUGUCGGAUUCAUUUGAAAGUUUCAGGGCAGAUAGAUUUUCACUUGAUGAAUGAUUUUACUCCAUGUCAGAUUUGCUCUAAAUGCUUUGGUUUCAGAGAUAUAAGUCAAAAUCUACAUUUCACCCCUAUGUUCUAUUUUUAGCCAUGGCAGCCAUCUUGGUUGGUUGGCCGGGUCACGCCAAACAUUUUUUAAACUAAAGACCCAAAGAUGAUUGUGGUCAAGUUUGGAUUAAUUUGGCCCUGUAGUUUCAGAGGAGAAGAUUUUUGUAAUAAAUUACUAAGAUUUACGAAAAAUGGUUAUAAAUUGACUAUAAAGGGCAAUAACUCCUAAAGGGGUCAACUGACCAUUUCGGUCAUGUUGACUUAUUUGUAAAUCUUACUUUUCUGAACAUUAUUGCUGUUUACAGUUAAUCUCUAUCUGUAAUAAUAUUCAAGAUAAUAACCAAAAACAGCAAAAUUUCCUUAAAAUUACCAAUUCAGGGGCAGCAACCCAACAACCGGUUGUCCGAUUCAUCUGAAAAUUUCAGGGCAGAGAGAUCUUGACCUGAUAAACAAUUUUACCCCUGUCAGAUUUGCUCUAAAUGCUUUGCUUUUUGAGUUAUAAGCCAAAAACUGCAUUUUACCCCUAUGUUCUAUUUUUUAGCCAUGGCAGCCAUCUUGGUUGGUUGGCGGGGUCACGCCACACAUUUUUAAAACUAGAUACCCCAAUGAUGAUUGUGGCCAAGUUUGGUUUAAUUUGGCCCAGUAGUUUCAGAGAAGAAGAUUUUUGUAAAAGUUAACGACGCAGGACGACGACGGACGCAAAGUGAUGGGAAAAGCUCACUUGGCCCUUUGAGCCAGGUGAGCUAAAAAUUGGUGGAUCAGAAUCAAAUACCUUUCUUUGUUUCCGAUAAGAAAAAGGAAUUUCAUUUAUAGAGGAAUAUUUUAAACAUAAUUCAUGUAAUCUUCGAAAUAAUUUAUGAAGUAAUUUCCAAGAAGAUGAUAACCACUGUUAAAAGUUUCAAAAGCUUAAGUAACCUCUAUGCUUUAUAAAAUUUUAACAUUAUUGUCAUUAGCAAAAUACUACAUGAUGAAGACAAAAACUAAAAUAAUAUGUACUGUUCAUACAAUUUUAAAAAGUUUAAUCUAGUAAAUCUGUUAACAAUGCCCAUGUGCAGCAUUCUGCAACUUAUAACAAUAUUUAUUACAAAAAUGAUGUUUAAUGACAAAAUGAACAGCAAUGAGCACCAAGAUUGAAGUAAAUGAUCCAAACCAUUCAUAAUAUUUGACCAUAUAAUUUUAAUAGCUAAAUCCAAAUGUUAUCAAUUAUAAACAAACUCUUUUUGGAAUUUUCAGACUUUUAUGAUUGAAAGGUCUUGGACGUUUGUUAAUGAUGAAAUACAUAAAAUAAAAGAAUAUCAUAAUGAUUCAUAUACAAGUCUUUUAAAA
rnacentral:lncRNA from 1 species